AUUUACACUAAAAAUCACUUUUUCAUUCAUCAACUUUUAACCAUCCAAAGGGAUGGUGGUGGUGGUGGGAGUGGCUCGGGAAAGGAUAAAAUUGAUUCUCUUGGACGCGAAUUUUACGGCAUAUGGCAUCUGAAUUGAAUUUGAAUAUGAGGAGCGAUGGUUAUGUGAACGUUAAUGAUUUGCUAAAGCUGAAUUUGAAGACAUUUGCUAAUACUCCUCUACGGUCCCACACUAUUGAUGACAUUAGGGAGGUCGGUUGAUCUAAUCUUUUUUCCUGUUUCCACACCUGACACAUUCUCAUUCCAUUUUAUAUCCUGUUUUAGUUAGAUUCUUGUGUUGUGUCUCAUUAUCUGAGAAUCAUUUUGAUGAAAAUAUCAAAAACAAAUGUAUAAAGUAAGUAUUGGUGAUAUUAGCCAGGCUCCAAUACGUUGUUUGUUGUUAUAAAACAUAAAUAUGAUUGCAUCGAGUUCGAUGACACUGAACAUUCAACAAUAUUUUACUUGUUAUCCUUGUUUUGCCUCCUUUGAA